rnacentral:rRNA from 1 species
CGUUGUCCGGAUUAUUGGGCGUAAAGCGCGCGCAGGCGGAUUGGUCAGUCUGUCUUAAAAGUUCGGGGCUUAACCCCGUGAUGGGAUGGAAACUGCCAAUCUAGAGUAUCGGAGAGGAAAGUGGAAUUCCUAGUGUAGCGGUGAAAUGCGUAGAUAUUAGGAAGAACACCAGUGGCGAAGGCGACUUUCUGGACGAAAACUGACGCUGAGGCGCGAAAGCCAGGGGAGCGAACGGGAUUAGAUACCCCGGUAGUCCUGGCCGUAAACGAUGGGUACUAGGUGUAGGAGGUAUCGACCCCUUCUGUGCCGGAGUUAACGCAAUAAGUACCCCGCCUGGGGAGUACGACCGCAAGGUUGAAACUCAAAGGAAUUGACGGGGGCCCGCACAAGCGGUGGAGUAUGUGGUUUAAUUCGAAGCAACGCGAAGAACCUUACCAGGUCUUGACAUCCCUCUGACCGCUCUAGAGAUAGAGCUUUCCUUCGGGACAGAGGUGACAGGUGGUGCAUGGUUGUCGUCAGCUCGUGUCGUG